UCGGGAAUAUUGCGCAAUGGAGGAAACUCUGACGCAGUGACGCCGCGUGCAGGAAGAAGGUUUUCGGAUUGUAAACUGCUUUAGACAGGGACGAACAAAUGACGGUACCUGUAGAAUAAGCUCCGGCUACUACGUG
rnacentral:rRNA from 1 species